AUUGAACGCUGGCGGCAGGCCUAACACAUGCAAGUCGAACGAGUGGCGGAGGGGUGAGUAAUGUCUGGGAAACUGACUGAUGGAGGGGGAUAACUACUGGAAACGGUAGCUAAUAACGCAUACCAUCAGAAGUGCCCAGAUGGGAUUAGCUAGUUGGUGGGGUAACUGCUCACCAAGGCGACGAUCCAUAGCUGGUCUGAGAGGCUGACCAGCCACACUGCAACUGAGCCACGGUCCAGACUCCUACGGGAGGCAGCAGUGGGUAAUAUUGCACAAUGGGCUCAAGCCUGAUGCAGCCAUGCCGCUUGUAUGAAGUAGGCCUUCGGGUUUUAAAGUACUUUCAGCGGGGAGGCGUUACCCGCAGAAGAAGCCCCGGCUAACUCCGUGCCAGCAGCCGCGGUAAUAA
rnacentral:rRNA from 1 species